rnacentral:rRNA from 1 species
GCAGGCCUCGUCGCCUGAAUAGUCGUGCAUGGAAUAAUGGAAUAGGACCUCGGUUCUAUUUUGUUGGUUUUCGGAACUCGAGGUAAUGAUUAAUAGGGACAGACGGGGGCAUCCGUAUUGCGACGUUAGAGGUGAAAUUCUUGGACCGUCGCAAGACGAACAACUGCGAAAGCAUUUGCCAAGAAUGUUUUCAUUAAUCAAGAACGAAAGUUAGAGGUUCGAAGGCGAUCAGAUACCGCCUAGUUCUAACCAUAAACGAUGCUGACCAGCGA